AAACAGAUAGUUUAAACACAAAUAUUUGGUUUCGGCCCACAAGAUAUCUGAUUGAUUCUGUUUU
rnacentral:tRNA from 1 species